rnacentral:rRNA from 1 species
GUAAAGAGCGUGUAGGCGGGUAAUAAGUUGGAAGUGAAAUCCUAUGGCUCAACCAUAGAACUGCUUUCAAAACUGUUGACCUAGAAUAUGGGAGAGGUAGAUGGAAUUUCUGGUGUAGGGGUAAAAUCCGUAGAGAUCAGAAGGAAUACCGAUUGCGAAGGCGAUCUACUGGAACAUUAUUGACGCUGAGACGCGAAAGCGUGGGGAGCAAACAGGAUUAGAUACCCUGGUAGUCCACGCCCUAAACGAUGCACACUAGUUGUUGCUAUGCUAGACAUAGCAGUAAUGCAGUUAACACAUUAAGUGUGCCGCCUGGGGAGUACGGGCGCAAGAUUAAAACUCAAAGGAAUAGACGGGGACCCGCACAAGCGGUGGAGCAUGUGGUUUAAUUCGACGAUACGCGAAGAACCUUACCUGGACUUGACAUAGAAGAAUUUCAGAGAUAAGUGCUGCUUGCAGAACUUAAUACAGGUGCUGCACGGCUGUCGUCAGCUCGUGUCGUGAGAUGUUGGGUUAAGUCCCGCAACGAGCGCAACCCACGUCAUUAGUUGCUAACACUUCGGGUGAGAACUCUAAGAGACUGCCUGGGUAACCAGGAGGAAGGUGUGGACGAC